GGUUCCUUUUCCUUAGCAAUCGAUUUCGUAGCAAUCAAUUGAUUUUUGUUUUAAUUCGCGCUAUUAUUCUCGCUGUAUAUAAAUAUGAUGCAUCGCAAAAGAUGCUAGUUAAUUGGUCUAAGAGUUACAAGGCAUCAAGAUGAAGUAUUUUUAUGUGUUUACGGUAUUGGCGGCUUUGUUAGCUGUUGCUUAUGCGGGAAUUUUGACUGGAGGAAAUCAAGACAGCUUCCCAACUCUAUACAUCAGAGCACGCAGAGGUGGAUGUGACUUCUACGGCUGUCAACGUUUCUGCCACAACUCGGGAGAUGGAACCGGACCUAAGGGUGGUGGCGUCUGCAUCAAGAAUCAAUGUGAUUGUAGUGUUGUUCCUAAAGAUUAGUACGUUGAAUAACAUCCUCGGCGUAUUUGGAAAUUAAACAUAUUUUAUAUAAAAAAACUAGUUGUA